rnacentral:rRNA from 1 species
ACGAACGCUGGCGGCGUGCUUAGCACAUGCAAGUCGCACGGAAAGGCCCUGCUUUUGUGGGGUGCUCGAGUGGCGAACGGGUGAGUAACACGUGAGUAACCUGCCCUUGACUUUGGGAUAACUUCAGGAAACUGGGGCUAAUACCGGAUAGGAGCUCCUGCUGCAUGGUGGGGGUUGGAAAGUUUCGGCGGUUGGGGAUGGACUCGCGGCUUAUCAGCUUGUUGGUGGGGUAGUGGCUUACCAAGGCUUUGACGGGUAGCCGGCCUGAGAGGGUGACCGGCCACAUUGGGACUGAGAUACGGCCCAGACUCCUACGGGAGGCAGCAGUGGGGAAUAUUGCACAAUGGGCGGAAGCCUGAUGCAGCAACGCCGCGUGCGGGAUGACGGCCUUCGGGUUGUAAACCGCUUUCGCCUGUGACGAAGCGUGAGUGACGGUAAUGGGUAAAGAAGCACCGGCUAACUACGUG